UACGUAGGUGGCGAGCGUUACCCGGAAUCACUGGGUGUAAAACGUGGGUAGGUGGCAUAGUAAGUACAGUGUGAAAUCUUGCGGCUCAACCGCAGGGCCGCACUGUAAACUGCUAUGCUAGAGUAGGGCAGAGGUGAGCGGAAUUCCCGGUGUACCGGUGAAAUGGGUAGAUAUCGGGAGGAACACCAUUGGCGAAAGCGGCUCACCAGGCCCUUACUUACGCUGAGCCACGAAAGCGUGGGGAGCAAACAGG
rnacentral:rRNA from 1 species